GGCUGUCGCAAGAAGGGAUCCGAUAAACACCGCUGCCAGUUCUGCUACCCAGACACAUCGCCCUAAAACACAGCAACACGCACAGUCGUGGAAAGAACAGAUCUGUUGACAGUCACCUCUAGAUGGCAUGUUUGUGCUCAUAGCGUGUUCUAUAGAAAAACACGCCUGGCAGAGCUGCCGGUGCAUUUGCCGCCCUGAAGACAGCCAUUGCCUUCUGUAAAUCAAUCGGGGAAGAUACUUAGGGGCCGUGAGCAGUCUACCCGGCAGUCAGCUGGUCUCUCUCAGGUCUCACGCACUGCUGGCCAGGUCCACGGGUAUAAGUGAUGGUCUUGAACAAUGUUUACGUGUGCUGUCUCACAACAGGUGCACAUGCAUAACGAAGACAUCCCCAUACAAGGAGGUCAGAGCGAAGGGAAUGUUUUCUCCAAGAUGGAGGCCUCCUGAGACCAUGUCUUUGAGUAAGGAAGAUUCUACAACAAUUCCUGCUUGCAACCCUUCUACCUAUCACUGCACACACACACACACACACACACACACACACGGGACUUCAUGAAAUUAGUGGGAAAUGGAAUUAAAGGUUAAGUUUAUUUUGGUGCAAAAAAAAAAAAAAAGAAAUGUAUGCCCAGUUUUUUUCAUGAUGCGGAUUUCCAUGAAUUCUUUGAAGACCUAGCAUGCAUGGCCCUGGCAGCACCAACCGCGGCUCUCCACACUGAGCCGCUGCGCUGCCGUGGGCCUGCUCCCUCUCCUGUCAUCCUUCCGGUCUCCAGUGCUGAGUCAGCCCUGGGUGCGAGUUCAGGGCCUCCUGAUUAUCCUUGCACAAACUGUGUUUACGCACAUCCUAGUCAGAGGUGGGGACUGGCAGGCAGGAACAGAAGGCACGGCAGAUGGGGAAGCCAAAGGAGGGACAGGCUUUGGCGAGCCAGGGGUCAGCAGGGGGGGACGUCACAGCCGCCGAGUGGGAGUGCAGCGCAGAGGCGGAGGAAACAGAACACAGGCCUCAGGGGAGGCCACUGCCAGAGAUUUUUAAAGUGGCAGAAUUUUAAAAGCAUGAAUCCCUUCUUCCUCACUAUCAGUGAAGGCAACUAA
rnacentral:lncRNA from 1 species